rnacentral:rRNA from 1 species
UGGGGAAUAUUGCACAAUGGGCGAAAGCCUGAUGCAGCAACGCCGCGUGAGUGAUGAAGGUCUUCGGAUUGUAAAGCUCUGUCUUUUGGGACGAUAAUGACGGUACCAAAGGAGGAAGCCACGGCUAACUACGUGCCAGCAGCCGCGGUAAUACGUAGGUGGCGAGCGUUGUCCGGAUUUACUGGGCGUAAAGGGUGCGUAGGCGGAUGUUUAAGUGAGAUGUGAAAUACCCGGGCUUAACUUGGGUGCUGCAUUUCAAACUGGAUAUCUAGAGUGCAGGAGAGGAGAAUGGAAUUCCUAGUGUAGCGGUGAAAUGCGUAGAGAUUAGGAAGAACACCAGUGGCGAAGGCGAUUCUCUGGACUGUAACUGACGCUGAGGCACGAAAGCGUGGGUAGCAACAGGAUUAGAUACCCUGGUAGUCCACGCCGUAAACGAUGAGUACUAGGUGUAGGAGGUAUCGACCCCUUCUGUGCCGCAGUAAACACAUUAAGUACUCCG